AUUCUACAUUGAUUUGGAGCUCUCAAUUCUCUCACUUUCUCCGAAACCCAGAAACGAAUUAAGAAAACAAAAAAGGAACACCAUGAAGACGAUCGUGUGACGCUUGCUUCAUUCACGGUCAUUAUUGCAAAGACUCCAUGUAAUGGCUACAUCCAGACAUGGGAGAUUAUUAACAACAGAUUCUAACAAGGUUGAUGAACCCCUCAAAGUUGAGGAAGCUGAGACAGUGGAUGUCUCAUCACCUCCAACAGAGAAGUUACUUGUGUUCGGGGGAAAUGGAUUUGUUGGGUCACAUUUUUGCAAAGAAGCACUGAAUCAUGGUUUCUCUGUCUCUAGCCUGAGCAGGUAUUACAUUGCUUUAUUAAGGUAAAUCAGUUUGGAGGUUGAAUUCUGCAACACAUGUUUCUCUUUCCCAUGCGAAUGGAUUUUAAGAAAGUGCAACUUUUGU